ensembl:ncRNA K08A2.12 ncRNA
AUGCUUAGGCUUAGGCUUAGGCUUAGGCUCAGGCCUAGGUUUAAGCUUAGGCUUCGGCUUAGGAUUAGGCCUAGG